AAGUCGUAACAAGGUUUCCGUAGGUGAACCUGCGGAAGGAUCAUUAAUGAUUUUUAAAGCGAGUCGAGCGUUUAAGCGAGGCUUGCGAAAAAUAUUUAAAACCCCACUCUUUUUAACUUUAAAAUAUAAAUCAUGAUACAUGAAUUUAAAAAAAAAGAUCACUUUCAACAACGGAUCUCUUGGCUCUC
rnacentral:misc_RNA from 1 species